GACAGGCUGGGGCCGGGGUCGGGUCGGGGUCUGGGGCGGGGCGGCAGACAGAUCCCUUCCCCCGGGUCCCGCGUCUCCGCAGGGCGGUCCCCGGGCUCCUUCACCGCAGAGUCCUUUCCCUCUUGACCCAGCACUCACCCGCCCAGGUCUGGGUCACGGCCAGGGCUCCCGACAGCAGCAGGAGGAGAGUUUGGGGCAUCAUGACCCGCAUCCUUGGGAUCUCGGGACACUGUGAGUCGCAGGGGGCGGGGGCGGAAACUUUAUAUCCCAAACUGCGGCGCCGCUGAUUGGCUUCUCCGGAAACCGACAGCAAUAGGAGUGUGAACGGAGGCUGGGUCAUCAGUAUCCAGGCAGAAGGACUUGACACAGGUUGUGACAGGGAGAAGUGAAACCAGGGAGGAUGGGGACUCCCCAACAUUGGGCUUCCCCGCCCCAGACACCGCCCUGGGGCCUGAGACCCUGAGAGGUUGACGGGGGACCUGGGACUUUGCCCGAAGCCUCACCUACUACACAGAGCGCUCUCCGUCACACUGUGUCCCUGAGUCGUGGCCCAGGAGCUGUGAACCCGCGACAAUAGACUGCCCCACCAGCCGGGAUGGACCAGACAAGGACAAGUAUGGAACAGACAAGUGGCACCCAAACAUGUGGCCUGAAUAUGAGGGACCCGGUGAAGAACACCGAUCGGUAAAGCAGCCAACUACGCGGACUUCCACGUGGUCCAUGGCUGGGGUGUAAAGUAGCCGACUACAUGGACUUCUGCGUGGUCCAUGGCUCGGGUGAAAAAGGAGUCGACCACGUGGGAGCCUGCCAUGUGGCCCAUGGCUCGGGUACCAUGUUUGGGAAAGGGUGACACCUUCUCUGGAUGAUUGGAGAAAUAAGAUUAAGAAGCUUCAGGAAGACCUGGAGAAGAGGAGGAAGGAGCUCAGUGCCAGUCCUUUCCUCAGUGGAUUUCAUGGACUUCUACCCUACCUCCUCCCACUUUUAGGACCUAUUUCGGGUUUAUUGAUCUUGGUGUCCUUGGGCCCUGUUCUAUUCAUUAAAGUCAUGGCUUUCCUA